rnacentral:rRNA from 1 species
UGAUGAACGCUAGCUACAGGCUUAACACAUGCAAGUCGAGGGGCAGCAUGGUCUUAGCUUGCUAAGGCCGAUGGCGACCGGCGCACGGGUGAGUAACACGUAUCCAACCUGCCGUCUACUCUUGGACAGCCUUCUGAAAGGAAGAUUAAUGCAAGAUGGCAUCAUGAGUCCGCAUGUUCACAUGAUUAAAGGUAUUCCGGUAGACGAUGGGGAUGCGUUCCAUUAGAUAGUAGGCGGGGUAACGGCCCACCUAGUCUUCGAUGGAUAGGGGUUCUGAGAGGAAGGUCCCCCACAUUGGAACUGAGACACGGUCCAAACUCCUACGGGAGGCAGCAGUGAGGAAUAUUGGUCAAUGGGCGAGAGCCUGAACCAGCCAAGUAGCGUGAAGGAUGACUGCCCUAUGGGUUGUAAACUUCUUUUAUAAAGGAAUAAAGUCGGGUAUGGAUACCCGUUUGCAUGUACUUUAUGAAUAAGGAUCGGCUAACUCCGUGCCAGCAGCCGCGGUAAUACGGAGGAUCCGAGCGUUAUCCGGAUUUAUUGGGUUUAAAGGGAGCGUAGAUGGAUGUUUAAGUCAGUUGUGAAAGUUUGCGGCUCAACCGUAAAAUUGCAGUUGAUACUGGAUAUCUUGAGUGCAGUUGAGGCAGGCGGAAUUCGUGGUGUAGCGGUGAAAUGCUUAGAUAUCACGAAGAACUCCGAUUGCGAAGGCAGCCUGCUAAGCUGCAACUGACAUUGAGGCUCGAAAGUGUGGGUAUCAAACAGGAUUAGAUACCCUGGUAGUCCACACGGUAAACGAUGAAUACUCGCUGUUUGCGAUAUACUGCAAGCGGCCAAGCGAAAGCGUUAAGUAUUCCACCUGGGGAGUACGCCGGCAACGGUGAAACUCAAAGGAAUUGACGGGGGCCCGCACAAGCGGAGGAACAUGUGGUUUAAUUCGAUGAUACGCGAGGAACCUUACCCGGGCUUAAAUUGCAGAUGAAUUACGGUGAAAGCCGUAAGCCGCAAGGCAUCUGUGAAGGUGCUGCAUGGUUGUCGUCAGCUCGUGCCGUGAGGUGUCGGCUUAAGUGCCAUAACGAGCGCAACCCUUGUUGUCAGUUACUAACAGGUUCCGCUGAGGACUCUGACAAGACUGCCAUCGUAAGAUGUGAGGAAGGUGGGGAUGACGUCAAAUCAGCACGGCCCUUACGUCCGGGGCUACACACGUGUUACAAUGGGGGGUACAGAGGGCCGCUACCACGCGAGUGGAUGCCAAUCCCCAAAACCUCUCUCAGUUCGGACUGGAGUCUGCAACCCGACUCCACGAAGCUGGAUUCGCUAGUAAUCGCGCAUCAGCCACGGCGCGGUGAAUACGUUCCCGGGCCUUGUACACACCGCCCGUCAAGCCAUGGGAGCCGGGGGUACCUGAAGUGCGUAACCGCGAGGAGCGCCCUAGGGUAA